UGUCCACAUACACUUUAAAAGGUGUUGGUGGGUCUACGCGACUCCUGUAAUUCGCAAAUAAUUCCUCAAGCCUUCAUAUUUACCUUAGCUCUUACUGAUGUGUCUGUUAAGCCCGCUGCUUAGUGAAUACGUAUUGCACGACAGUUCGCACAAUAAUUUGGAAAUGUUUGGAAAUAGCUUGCACAGCACUUAUUGUUAGAAGCUAUCACAAGUGAAAAGCAAAUGGAUACAAGAGUACUCAUCGGAAAAGAUUUAAUCCACCAAUAUAUGCUAAUGCCGUGCCCUAAAACAGCAAUUAUCGAUUGUUAAAACUACGGGAACAAAGCGUCAUAUUCAGAGGCAGUAAUUGUAGUCUCCCCGAGUCUCUUAUCUCUUCGGCACACCUUUAAUACACAAACGUGGAUUAGCUUAAAAGAUAUUUCCAGACAGAACAAUAACAAAAAGUGAAAUCAGUGUGUCGCUAUCACACAAGACAGAACAUGAUUUCUUUCCUUUCUAGACAAGAGCAACUUUUUUUGUUGUAACAGUUUGUGGCAAAUGAAAUAGUUCCAAUGGAAAAAGGUCGCUUGCCCCUGAUUCAAUUCCCUAGUCCGAUAAGAAAAGGAAGAUCGAAGGCUUGCUACCAUACUCCUUUUUUUCUCAUCAAAUCAAUUUUUUUUUUAUCAUAAGUACCCCCAUGUGGUUACCUCUUGAGUCAUGUCUCAAUUAACUAAUUAUCACUCUACAGUGCCUUCGAUAUUGACGUGAAGCCCAUUCAUGCACGUUUCAGAAAGAACUCGGAAGUCAAGUACAUCAGAAAUUUCUGCAUGUCAAGUUGACCAGUUACAUGAUGAUUUCAAGUUGGGAGCGGACAAAAUGGCGGCCGGACACCAAUCUUUGAGCUCCAUGGAACUAGCAAUUUUGCUGCUUAUGACUACCUUAUUCCUUCAUGGAAAUGUCAACACUAGUUCUCUUAUUCUACGAAGAGACGCUUCAGCCGCAAUGGAACACUGGUCGCUAGUCGUAGCCAACACAAGCUUACUGAAUUCUCGCAAGACCACUCCAAGCCGCGGCCAUGGAAAAAUAUACUUGUCUACGAGAUUUUCUCACACUUCGAACGGCACAAGUAGCUUCCACAUCUACCGACUCAUAACUGGAGGAGACAUCCACUCAAACCCCAGACCUACAACGAAAAUGUCCAAACAUCCCUGCAAAGAGUGUGGCGAAUGCGUGGGUUCCAAUCAAGAUUCCCUACUGUGUGUUUAGUGUAAUUCCUUCUCGCACACUAAAUGCCUGAACUUGACAAAAGCGAUGUUUAAAAGCUACUCAGAUAAGCAGGUCAUGGACUGGAAAUGCUCGCUAUGCUCCUUGCCAUUUAGUAAUGGGGA